UCAAGUUUUCGACACCUUGCUAGGCAACUCGUGGUACUCAGAUGUUGCCAUAUCCCAAAAGUGGUAGUAUGGGUGAAAAGAUUGAAAAGCCCUGACUUAUGCUUUAGUCACCUCCCAUUUGUCUUAUUGCAAUAUGUUCUACGUGGGGCAGUCCUUAAAGACCAUCCAGAAGCUGUAAUAAUCUAGAAUGCAGCAACAUCCAGUUUGGUAAGCUUGUGGUUCCUCCCCAGUUGUACUACUUUGUUUGAGCUGCACUGGCUCCCAGUUGUAUUUUUAUGAUGUAUCCCCUUUAAAAAUAUGGAUAGAUUAUCCAAGACAAGCCUUUCUACCCCCAACCCAGAGUCCCUCUUUAAGGGAAAUAGAUGAUUUAGAAAUGUGAAAAAUAUAAAUAACCUCCCAAUUAAAUUACAAGAUAAACUACCACCCUGACCUUCCAACUAUUCAGAUUGUUUUGAUAGCCUAUUGAAUAUUCAAGAAGAUAUGCCUUUCUUUGUACUAAAAUUAUGGGAAUGAAUUAAAUAAGUAACAACUGCUGUCCAUUUAUGAUAUCUAAAACUGGCUGUGUGUAUCACUGCUGACAGUUCAGAAUUCUUCUGUCCUACAGCUCUAUAAUCCAAAAUGUGCAAGGGUGACUCAACAAAAUGUUUUCUGUUCAUUUUCAAAAUGAGAUUUUUUUUUCCCCUUUCAGGAUUUGUUUCCAGAUUUCUAUCCAGUAGAUUGUCAUUACAUAGCUCAUUCAAGUUGAUAUAUAUAAUCAUGGUUGGAACUAAGACUGAGAGUUCAAUUACUUCUAUUACUUUGCUGAUGAAUUCCUUGAUUUUGAGCAACAGCCAAGCCUCUUUGCUACUACUUCACAAAAUAAAAAAAUUGUGAAUUAAUUAAAAGUUUGUUCUGGAAUCUGAACUUUUGACCAUGGAAUUUGAUGAGACUGAAUUGAACAAAAUGUUGAAGAAACUUUCAAAGAUUGAAGACAGCAUUAUUUCUCUGACCCAAAAAUCAUCCUGAUUUUUCACUUAAAACAAUGUUUGAGUAAUACUAAGGUUGACCUUAAUUAUAUGUGUAGAUUAUCCUGGACAUCAUGCUGUUCUAGCAGCAGUGUUUGAAAACUUAUACAUAAAUAUGAGAUCAAAGGGGGAGGCGGGGAGGUAACUGAGGCAUUCAAACUGAUGUAUACCUUAAAGCAAAAGAACAUAGCUAGAUUCACUGAAAUAAAAUGCUCCUCCAGAAAAAUGUAGAAUUUGUACAAUAAAAGAGCAAAUAUAUUUACCGUAUUUUCCGGCGUAUAAGACGACUUUCUAAAGCAUGCAAAUAGGCUCCGAAGUCGGGGGUCAUCUUAUACGUCGAGUCAUCUUAUACGCCAGAAAUUACGGUAGUUUCCGGCAUAUAAGAUGACUUUCUAGGCAUGCAAAUCGGCUCCGAAGUCGGGGGUCGUCUUAUACGCCAAGUCGUCUAAUACACCGGAAAAUACGGUACCUUUUCCAUUACUGACGUCACUAUGUGGUUUAUUCAUCCAGCCACUGAAAAGCAAUUUGUAGCAGUAGCUGCUGAACAUCUGUAGAUCCAGGAGAGGGAAUUCCAUAAGAAAUAUUCUUUUGUUUCUUUAUUUCUCUUCAUGUUUUCACCAGUUCAAAAAGGGUUGUUACUUGAGGAAAACAUUAAAAGUAGUGUAUUUUAGUUUCAUCUUCCCUUUCUGGAACAUUGUAGGAAAAGCAGAUUCCCAUUCUAGAAAUAAUUAUUUAGUUAUUAAUUGACCCACUAGGGUAUGACAGAUCUUCCACUUCUGUGGCACAAAACUAGCCAUAAGCAUUAUAACAAAAAGGUGGUCAUUUUAAAAAAGCUGUAUAGCAUUCAUUAGCAAUAGAGAGUAAAUACUGUAUGUUUUCACAAAGAGUUUUCAGCAUUAACUGUUUCAUUAUCUCAACAGUGUGGUAUUGAGUACUAUAGAAGUUACUGAAAAUGUAGAAUAUAUUGACCAAACUUUAAAGAGAAGGGGAUAUCAACUCUAGAAUGUUUUGGUGUUUACAAUCUAAAUUUUUUUUAAUGCCAAACUAUCUCCUCUUCCAUUCAGUUUCCUUCUGCUACUCAACUUGGCCCUCUGUACAACAGAUCAUAUUUUUAAAUGUUGCCUUAGAAACUAGCCUUGAAAAGUUUCUUCCAGAACACUUGCUUUCCACUUGACGAUACAGCUAUUGAGGGUUUUUUCAUGUCUUGUCUACCAAACUAUCUGUACAAUAUAGAGCAUCUCCUUUUAUAACAAGCAGUCAUAUUCCUAUGUGGUGAUUUCAUGCCAUAGUAUCUGCCCUGAUAUUAAUUAUGCACUAUAAACUAAAGCCUUCUCAAAUGAGCUUCUCAGUUAUCUUUGUGUAUAUCUGAAUAAAAGCUGCAAUAGCUCUUUUUAGAAAAUCAGUAACUAGAGGGGUACAAAAAUAUAGCAAAUGUCUAUCAAACUCAGCUAAUUUGCAGUAGUUUAUCUAUUACUGUCUUUUUUGUUCUCAAAUCCUAUAAACACUGUAACCAAGCUCACUAAUGUUACAAUUAACAUUAAAGAAAUACAGUUCUUAAAGAACCAUGUAUUGCAUGUAUUUACCAUACACAUAUGUAUGAUUUUCUCAUUACAUUAAUGGCUUAUUGACUAUUUGUAGAAGUCCAAACAUAAAAUAACUCUGCACUUUAAACUGCCCUUCUUCAGCUUGAUGUCCUCUGAAGACCUUCAGAUUACAAGCCUCAGAAUUUCCAACCAGUUAUAAAUUACAACCCCCAAAUUUCCCAAGGGCAUGUGGUUAGAGAAAGUUCUUUUAAAGCAUAGUAUUUAGCCUCUGUUCAAAAUACAGUUACAUGAUUUACAUAGAUGUUAUUUUCAUUUAGUUUCAUAUAUGUAUUAAUUAAGAUGAUUUACUUCUGCUUCGUGUGGUUGCUGGUGAACAUGGAUAUAAAAUGGAAGUUUUCUCUAUAUUAUUUGUAAGGUAAGAUAUUAGGGUUUUUUUGUUUAUCUGAAUUUUGGAAUUAAAACCUCAUUGCAUUCUU